AAGCAACGCGAAGAACCUUACCAGGCCUUGACAUGCAGAGAACUUUCCAGAGAUGGAUUGGUGCCCUCGGGAACUCUGACACAGGUGCUGCAUGGCUGUCGUCAGCUCGUGUCGUGAGGUGUUGGGUUAAGUCCGUAACGAGCGCAACCCUUGUCCUUAGUUACCAGCACGUUAUGGUGGGCACUCUAAGGAGACUGCCGGUGACAAACCGGAGGAAGGUGGGGAUGACGUCAAGUCAUCAUGGCCCUUACGGCCUGGGCUACACACGUGCUACAAUGGUCGGUACAAAGGGUUGCCAAGCCGCGAGGUGGAGCUAAUCCCAUAAAACCGAUCGUAGUCCGGAUCGCAGUCUGCAACUCGACUGCGUGAAGUCGGAAUCGCUAGUAAUCGUGAAUCAGAAUGUCACGGUGAAUACGUUCCCGGGCCUU
rnacentral:rRNA from 1 species